GACGAACGCUGGCGGCGUGCUUAACACAUGCAAGUCGAGCGAUGAACCUUUCAUGAAUUUUUCGGAAUGAUUGGAAGAGGAUUAGCGGCGGACGGGUGAGUAACGCGUGAGCAACCUGCCUUAAACAACGGGAUAGCCUCGGGAAACCGGGAUUAAUACCGUAUGAGACCCCGCCUUCACAUGAAGAAGAGGUUAAAGAUUUAUCGGUUUAAGAUGGGCUCGCGUCCGAUUAGCUAGUUGGUGAGAUAAAAGCCCACCAAGGCAACGAUCAGUAACCGGCUUGAGAGAGUGAACGGUCACAUUGGAACUGAGACACGGUCCAAACUCGUACGGGAGGCAGCAGUGGGGAAUAUUGCACAAUGGGGGAAACCCUGAUGCAGCGACGCCGCGUGAGCGAUGAAGGAUUUCGUUUCGUAAAGCUCUGUCCAAGGGGAAGAUAAUGACAGUACCCUUGGAGGAAGCCCCGGCUAAAUACGUGCCAGCCGCCGCAGUAA
rnacentral:rRNA from 1 species